rnacentral:rRNA from 1 species
AUACGUAGGUGGCAAGCGUUGUCCGGAAUUAUUGGGCGUAAAGCGCAUGUAGGCGGUAAUUUAAGUCUGUCGUGAAACUGCGGGGCUCAGCCCCGUAUGGCGAUGGAAACUGGGUUACUUGAGUGCAGGAGAGGAAAGGGGAACUCCCAGUGUAGCGGUGAAAUGCGUAGAUAUUGGGAAGAACACCGGUGGCGAAGGCGCCUUUCGGGACUGUGUCUGACGCUGAGAGGCGAAAGCCAGGUUAGCGAACGGGAUUAGAUACCCCGGUAGUCCUGGCCGUAAACGAUGGGUACUAGGUGUGGGAGGUAUCGACCCCUUCCGUGCCGGAGUUAACGCAAUAAGUACCCCGCCUGGGGAGUACGGCCGCAAGGCUUAAACUCAAAGGAAUUGACGGGG